AUUCCUUUAGUAUUAACAAGUACAGCUGACUUCCAAUCAGCCAGUUUCGGUAGAAUCCGAAAAGGAGUA
rnacentral:tRNA from 2 species